GAGUUUGAUCCUGGCUCAGAUUGAACGCUGGCGGCAGGCCUAACACAUGCAAGUCGAGCGGAUGACGGGAGCUUGCUCCUUGAUUCAGCGGCGGACGGGUGAGUAAUGCCUAGGAAUCUGCCUGGUAGUGGGGGACAACGUUUCGAAAGGAACGCUAAUACCGCAUACGUCCUACGGGAGAAAGCAGGGGACCUUCGGGCCUUGCGCUAUCAGAUGAGCCUAGGUCGGAUUAGCUAGUUGGUGGGGUAAUGGCUCACCAAGGCGACGAUCCGUAACUGGUCUGAGAGGAUGAUCAGUCACACUGGAACUGAGACACGGUCCAGACUCCUACGGGAGGCAGCAGUGGGGAAUAUUGGACAAUGGGCGAAAGCCUGAUCCAGCCAUGCCGCGUGUGUGAAGAAGGUCUUCGGAUUGUAAAGCACUUUAAGUUGGGAGGAAGGGCAGUAAGCUAAUACCUUGCUGUUUUGACGUUACCGACAGAAUAAGCACCGGCUAACUCUGUGCCAGCAGCCGCGGUAAUACAGAGGGUGCAAGCGUUAAUCGGAAUUACUGGGCGUAAAGCGCGCGUAGGUGGUUCGUUAAGUUGGAUGUGAAAGCCCCGGGCUCAACCUGGGAACUGCAUCCAAAACUGGCGAGCUAGAGUACGGUAGAGGGUGGUGGAAUUUCCUGUGUAGCGGUGAAAUGCGUAGAUAUAGGAAGGAACACCAGUGGCGAAGGCGACCACCNGGACNGAUA
rnacentral:rRNA from 1 species